rnacentral:rRNA from 1 species
GCGGACGGGUGAGUAAUGCCUAGGAAUCUGCCUGGUAGUGGGGGAUAACGUUCGGAAACGGACGCUAAUACCGCAUACGUCCUACGGGAGAAAGCAGGGGACCUUUCGGGCCCUUGCGCUAUCAGAUGAGCCUAGGUCGGAUUAGCUAGUUGGUGGGGUAAUGGCUCACCAAGGCGACGAUCCGUAACUGGUCUGAGAGGAUGAUCAGUCACACUGGAACUGAGACACGGUCCAGACUCCUACGGGAGGCAGCAGUGGGGAAUAUUGGACAAUGGGCGAAAGCCUGAUCCAGCCAUGCCGCGUGUGUGAAGAAGGUCUUCGGAUUGUAAAGCACUUUAAGUUGGGAGGAAGGGUUGUAGAUUAAUACUCUGCAAUUUUGACGUUACCGACAGAAUAAGCACCGGCUAACUCUGUGCCAGCAGCCGCGGUAAUACAGAGGGUGCAAGCGUUAAUCGGAAUUACUGGGCGUAAAGCGCGCGUAGGUGGUUUGUUAAGUUGGAUGUGAAAUCCCCGGGCUCAACCUGGGAACUGCAUUCAAAACUGACUGACUAGAGUAUGGUAGAGGGUGGUGGAAUUUCCUGUGUAGCGGUGAAAUGCGUAGAUAUAGGAAGGAACACCAGUGGCGAAGGCGACCACCUGGACUAAUACUGACACUGAGGUGCGAAAGCG